UACGUAGGGGGCAAGCGUUGUCCGGAAUCAUUGGGCGUAAAGAGCGUGUAGGCGGCCAAACAGGUCAGCUGUGAAAACUCGAGGCUCAACCUCGAGACGUCGGUUGAAACCGUUUGGCUAGAGUCCGGAAGAGGAGAGUGGAAUUCCCGGUGUAGCGGUGAAAUGCGCAGAUAUCGGGAAGAACACCCGUGGCGAAGGCGGCUCUCUGGGACGGUACUGACGCUGAGACGCGAAAGCGUGGGGAGCGAACAGG
rnacentral:rRNA from 1 species